ensembl:lncRNA
UACAACCCGACUCAGAAGCAGCACCAUGCAUCACAAGAUUACAACAGGCCGAAGAGUUGUAAACAUUCAGCAAAACACAAAAUCUAUGGUGCUGAUUUAAAACUGCAGGUUAAGUAUGGAAAUCAGAUCUCUUUUGGGGAAAGAAUUCUACCAAAGGCAAAUUUGAAGAGUACAAACUGUCUAUAUAAAUGUGCAAAUGGAAGGUCUGAGGUGACAAUACCUCUACUGGUUGGAAGCAGAAGCCAAUUUAUGAAAAUAUUGGUUAGUGAGGUACUAUGGUCAGGAAGAUCUUUAAAGUCAGUAUACAGGGAUUGAACAUAAUUCUUUGGUUAAUGUGUAACAUUAAAUAAAUAACCAAGGGUAGUGAAAGAGUUCAAAGGGUAGUGAAAAACUAAGCAAUCAUAUUGGGUUUGGAUAACCUGUGAUGUGGAUCUUGGACCAGUGUCCAUUCUUGGCCGUUCCUUUAAUCUCCAGUUUCAUGUGUCAUCUAGAUACAGAACUCCUCAGCUGCACCUUUCUUUGGAAUGGUCACAGCUUGAUAACCCUAUUUGUAUCCCAAAGAAAAUCUUUUCCAUCAGCAAUGUCUAAUGUGUCUAUAUUUUUUAUUACUCACUUAGCAUAUAAAGGAAUAUUCCUUGCUGCAGAGCAUAAGAGAGACAUCCCCUAAGUGUUACCAUACUUGGUGGAGAUUUUCUAUUCUUAUAUUACUUUUUAUUUGAAAACGCUUCAUUACUUUCUUAAGUAUAGGACUCUCUCUGCAGCUAGUGCUCUCAGCAGCUGCUAGGUUUACUAGUGCAAUGUAAUGGAUGCUAAAUUUACCAUGAGCAAGAUAUUUCCAGUUUGAACCACCUUUGAUUAACUGGCACAACAGUAAUUUAAAAUGUUCAUGGCUGCCUUCCCUCUCAGUGUUUCACCAGCAUUCGUGGGCAUGGAAUUUUAUGUUCUGCAAAGCCCUUGGCGAUGAAAAGAGAAAAUACAGUGCAAUUAAAUACACCCCUGAAAGGACAAGAGACCUCACGAUUCACAGACUGCUCGGAAAUUGGGUGAAUUCAGGUGCUCAUCAGUUUGGGGCCAAUUGGAAGCUGACAAUGCCCUUGUCAAUCAAGCCCCCAAGAGACAUGGAUGAGAUAUAUCUUUUGGUACUUAAGAGGCAGCAUCCCUCAAUCAUAGUGCCAUUGCAUAAGAUGCCAUUAGAGGUCUUUUAUUUUAAGAUGACAUCUAAAGUCUAAAAUGGUAAGAAAAACAUAAAGCUUCAAAGAAAGAAAGAAACUUGGUAGCCAUUGUGACUUAUCGCCGUGAGAGAGCAGAUGUAUUACUGAAGAAAAGAAGAGACUAAAUGCCCAGCAAUCAAAUGCAUGCCUCUUUUCCAACAAUAUUUUCUUUUUGCUAUAGUAUCUACAGUGAAAUAUAUUCCUUUAUAAAAACAAAAACAAGCGCUUGGCACAGGCCUGUCCAAUCACACAUUUUGCACAAGGCCAGGCCAAGAUGGAAAAAUAUUAAGUGUAUUUUUCCUGAAGUUUUCCAUAUUUUUUGCAGUGUGAAAACAAAUGUGAGAUGCUCAGAUUUUUUUGGAUACAUUUCAGCAGCAUGCCACAAGAAUGCCAUCUAGCCAAAGAAACUCUAAAGUGCCGUCUUUCUGUAUUGUAAACCACAAUACAUUCAUAUUUCUGACAUAAGAAAGAACACUACAUAAGCAACUUCAGCUCUUAGGAAAACUCUUAGGAGCCUCCACAGAAAGGCUGCACGAACACCCCAUGGCCUGUGGAGGAAGAUUUGUUCUCCUUAUCUCCCUGUAUAUCUAGGCUCUGAUCUUGCAAACACCUUUACAGGGAACUACUCAUGGGCCUGACCUACAGCCCAUUGAAGUCAAUGAAAAGCAUUUCAUUGACUUCAGUGAGCUUUGGAUCAGGACCCAUGGGUGAAAUUCUGGCCUCAAUGAAGCUCCUAUUGACAUCAGUAGGGCCAGGAUUUCACCCCAUGUGCAUUAAGUUAUUUACUUUUGUAUUUGAAGAAUCAGAGCCCUACACAAAGCACCCAACCUAUGUGGAUAAGCUCAGCAUGUGGUCAGGAGUUUGGCCUUAGAGUUAAACUGAAAACACGUCUUUCAAAGACCUUUCCCUUCUUUUUCGUUACAUAAGUGAGGCUAAAAAGAAGCAAAACUUCUUUGUCAAACUUGAGGAAUAGUGUCAAGCUGAGAGUCGUAACCAUGCGGUGUAGAAAAAAUAUGACUGAUGCCUUCCCUGGCUAUACCAAAUCCUUCUGAGGAGUGAAGACAUGGUUGAUUCUCAGGAGGACUUCUUGAGAUCAGGGUCCAGAGUGCGAAUAAAAGCCAGUUUAAAAAAAAUCA